AUUGAACGCUGGCGGAAUGCUUUACACAUGCAAGUCGAACGGCAGCAUAGGUGCUUGCACCUGAUGGCGAGUGGCGAACGGGUGAGUAAUACAUCGGAACGUGCCCAGUCGUGGGGGAUAACGUAGCGAAAGUUACGCUAAUACCGCAUACGAUCUAAGGAUGAAAGCGGGGGAACGUAAGGCCUCGCGCGAUUGGAGCGGCCGAUGUCAGAUUAGGUAGUUGGUGAGGUAAAGGCGCACCAAGCCGACGAUCUGUAGCUGGUCUGAGAGGACGACCAGCCGCACUGGGACUGAGACACGGCCCAGACUCCUACGGGAGGCAGCAGUGGGGAAUUUUGGACAAUGGACGCAAGUCUGAUCCAGCCAUUCCGCGUGCAGGACGAAGGCCUUCGGGUUGUAAACUGCUUUUGUACGGAACGAAAAAGCUCUUACUAAUACUAGGAGUCCAUGACGGUACCGUAAGAAUAAGCACCGGCUAACUACGUGCCAGCCGCCGCAGUAA
rnacentral:rRNA from 1 species